rnacentral:rRNA from 1 species
GGCCUCAAGAGCUCGUAGGCGGCUUGUCACGUCGGAUGUGAAAGCCCGGGGCUUAACCCCGGGUCUGCAUUCGAUACGGGCUAGCUAGAGUGUGGUAGGGGAGAUCGGAAUUCCUGGUGUAGCGGUGA